GGGGGGAGCAAGCGUUGUCCGGAAUCACUGGGCGUAAAGGGCGUGUAGGCGGGCAAUCGAGUCAGAUGUAAAAGGCGACGGCUCAACCGUAGUAUGUCAUCUGAUACUGGUUGUCUUGAGUUCGAGAGAGGGUGGUGGAAUUCCCGGUGUAGCGGUGAAAUGCGUAGAUAUCGGGAAGAACACCUGAUGCGAAGGCGGCCACCUGGAUCGAUACCGACGCUGAGGCGCGAAAGCGUGGGGUAGCAAACAGGAUUAGAUACCCUGGUAGUCCACGCUGUAAACGAUGGGCACUAGGUGUUGGUCCCCGCUACUGGCGGGGUCGGUGCCGCAGCUAACGCAUUAAGUGCCCCCGCCUGGGGAGUACGCUCGCAAGGGUG
rnacentral:rRNA from 1 species